rnacentral:rRNA from 1 species
GACGAACGCUGGCGGCGUGCUUAACACAUGCAAGUCGAACGCUGAAGCCCUUCGGGGUGGAUGAGUGGCGAACGGGUGAGUAACACGUGGGUAAUCUGCCCUGCACUCUGGGAUAAGCCCUGGAAACGGGGUCUAAUACCGGAUAGGACACAUCGCCGCAUGGUGUGUGUGUGGAAAGUUCCGGCGGUGCAGGUUGAGCCCGCGGCCUAUCAGCUUGUUGGUGGGGUGAUGGCCUACCAAGGCGACGACGGGUAGCCGGCCUGAGAGGGUGACCGGCCACACUGGGACUGAGACACGGCCCAGACUCCUACGGGAGGCAGCAGUGGGGAAUCUUGCGCAAUGGGCGAAAGCCUGACGCAGCAACGCCGCGUGGGGGAUGACGGCCUUCGGGUUGUAAACCUCUUUCGACCGGGACGAAGGAUUCGUUUGACGGUACCGGUAGAAGAAGCACCGGCUAACUACGUGCCAGCAGCCGCCGUAACAC